UUUUAAGUUUCCGUUUUAUGUACUUUGUCGCAUCACUCAUGUCUUCUUCAUAUUUCUAUUUAUUGCAGGAAGACUACCAAGUUUCCAAAUCGCGUUUGAUCAGUUUUGACAAAGACUGAAUCGAUUGGAUCCCUCCUACCCCCCACUUGCUGCCUGCUCUGCACCCCGGCUGCAGCACCUCUCGCCGCCGCCAGCCCCCUGCUGUCCUCCCCGGAUUCGAGACCUACCCGCCUUCUGAUCACCGGCCUUUCCCGGCCUAGCGUACCCGCAACACUGCACUCCUGUGUCAUCACUUCGUAAAUCACUUCAUAUUGCUGCCUAAGCGUUGCUCCGGUCCUUUCUGGUCCUUCUCGUUACAAUGCUGCUGCUUCUGCACCCAGAUGGCGGCUACUGCCUCGGAUUCCCUGUCUUGCGUCUCUACCUGCUUGCCUGUGCUCCUGUCCAUCUGCCCGCAGCUGGCCCUCUACCGGCACCCCUCCAGCCAACUCCAUCGGGCCUGCUUGGAAUAACUCGGUCUCAUCUGUGCAAGGACAAGCGCUGACUAGUAGGCUACUUCAGGAGGACAUGUUUUGGACACUUAACACAAAGAAUCCAUCGCCUUCCAGCCUUGUGGACACUCCAACAAGAGGCAUUGAUGAAAGGACACCCCCCCCCCUCACCUGUACGGUCAAACAAUGCUUGGUCACCAUGAUACCAGGACAUCCCACCAUGCAUCUGUGAGAACUAUGUGGGGUAGCAGAAGCUUUGAACUUUCUAUUUUUUUUUUUUUUUCAAUUUACAAGGUGCAAUGCCCCACACCAUCAUGCUGUGUACAGUGGGUUUACCUGACCAAUAGCAGCAGCUCUUCACUGAGCUUGAGCAUAGGAACUAGCAAUUCCCUACGAAAAAGUCUCACCUGAUCAUCAAGUCUAGCAGAAAGCUACUGAUUGGCAUCCAGUCAUUGACUGUCUGAGCAUUCCAGAGAAGUCCUUGAUGCUGUCCAAAGUGUCCUGCAAGUUCCUUGCGUGGUCCGGCUGGAAUUUCUCUGGUGUACCUUUUUAGUGCUGUACUGUAAUCCUCUUUCCUGGAUUCAAGUAACAAUGCUUUUCAUCUGAUGGCCAGCUACAGGCUGCUGGACAUUGGCAACUUCUUAGUGCUUUAUUCUAGCCCUGUGAUAAUGCUUUGCCUAUGUUGAAUACUUUUGUGUUGUUUUGUUUUUUUGUGUUUGGUUCUAUUAAGACAUAAUAUGAUGAUCGUAAUAAAUGAUGAUUAACCCAGGUAUGUUAGGGUACUAACCCACAGUGUGUGCCUUUUUAAACACAUGGACAGGUGUAGGUCAGUGAACUUCUGUUUUGCUUAACCUAUGCCACCUGUAUCAUCUGCUGUACCAUCAUGUGUUUCUUUAGUUUUAAAUAAUACCUGAAGCUAUCCUGUUGUAGUGGUUUAUUGUCACUCAUUUAGGCUUGUUUCAUUUUGUAGGAUCUUGUGUAGUGUCACAUUAACAAAUGGACUGCAUUUAUAUAGCGCUUUUUUCCAUAUAUAUCCAAAGUGCU